rnacentral:rRNA from 1 species
GAUGAACGCUGGCGGCGUGCUUAACACAUGCAAGUCGAACGAUGAAGCCCAGCUUGCUGGGUGGAUUAGUGGCGAACGGGUGAGUAACACGUGAGUAACCUGCCCUUGACUCUGGGAUAAGCCUGGGAAACUGGGUCUAAUACUGGAUAUGACUUCUCAUCGCAUGGUGGGGGGUGGAAAGAUUUAUUGGUCUUGGAUGGACUCGCGGCCUAUCAGCUUGUUGGUGAGGUAAUGGCUCACCAAGGCGACGACGGGUAGCCGGCCUGAGAGGGUGACCGGCCACACUGGGACUGAGACACGGCCCAGACUCCUACGGGAGGCAGCAGUGGGGAAUAUUGCACAAUGGGCGCAAGCUUGAUGCAGCGACGCCGCGUGAGGGAUGACGGCCUUCGGGUUGUAAACCUCUUUCAGUAGGGAAGAAGCGAGAGUGACGGUACCUGCAGAAGAAGCGCCGGCUAACUACGUG